rnacentral:rRNA from 1 species
UACGUAGGGCGCAAGCGUUGUCCGGAUUUAUUGGGCGUAAAGAGCUCGUAGGCGGUCUGUCGCGUCGGCUGUGAAAACCCGAGGCUCAACCUCGGGCCUGCAGUCGAUACGGGCAGACUAGAGUGUGGCAGGGGAGACUGGAAUUCCUGGUGUAGCGGUGAAAUGCGCAGAUAUCAGGAGGAACACCGGUGGCGAAGGCGGGUCUCUGGGCCGAUAUUGACGCUGAGGAGCGAAAGCGUGGGGAGCGAACAGG